GACCAGGCUGCUUCUCUACAUUUAAGCUGGUGGUGUUUAGCUGGUUUGGGCAUCUAUAAUGAUGCACUGGCUUACGGAAGUAUCUGACGGCUACGUCCCCGGUUGGUUGGCGCCGUGGGGAGGAUGUAAUCUGGGUUGGUCUGCAGAUACGAGACACUGUCUCAGACGUUCUCUUCCCCAUUUGGCUCAGCCUUUCCUCCAUUUUCAGGCAUCCUCGUGACUUGCUGGGGGAAGCACAGGGUGGAUGUAAUGGUUCAUGGUUCACUAGUUCUGUUGAUUAAAGGUCUCCCAGCAUCGUGCAUCAGGGAAGAAGAUUAAAGCGGUUUCCUAUCGAGAAAUCUGUGAUUUCCUCUUUAAAUGGUCGAUCCGUGCCUUACACGACUACGUAACUGGCUGUUCGGUCCCGAUCUUUACUUGAGAAGAGAAGGUAGGUUACUCUCUGAGGGUAUUUUGCUCCAUUUCUUAUUUGUGGGUCCAAAUCUUUAUAGAAUUCCAUAAUUACAGUACAUGUAGGUUUCUUAUCUGAUCCGUCUUCUGUGCCCUUUGUAUAACGCUCAUAAAGGCCAUAUCCGAAAGAAAAUAGAGACAUAAAACAAGGAGAGCCAAAAUGCCCAUUCCUGAGCAUUUUUGAGCCGUCGCUACCGUCAGAGCAUUCGGUUGGUUUGAAAGCUCAAGCUACGUUCCUCAGAAAUCCUUCUUUCACGUGGGAAAAAAAAAUGACUUUGUCCUUUUAACCUCUCUUAAUAGUCUUUCCACUGUAGGUCUGAUUUAUCAAUAUCUCUGUUUAAACCCUUGGAAGAAUCGUACUCUCUGUGCAUUACGUCUUAAUAACACCUUCAAAUCAUGCCCAAUUGUGAGAGCUACAAGAAAACCAUUCAGUUACAGUGAUUUGGUAGGAAAUAUAUCUCAUUUGGACAGUCAGGGCUAUCUCUUUUGUAUUUCAGGUAAUAUCUGUAAUUAAAGAAAUGUCCCCACAAGACAUAUUUUACCCGGGGCACUGUCGCUGUCUCUCCUACAAUGAAUUGCCACCACUCUGUUUGAUGAUCUGUGGAGGCGGUGAUGAUGAGGUGAGGACAAUACAGCUGAGUUGAUAGACGUGAUCUCUGUCGAUCGUGGAGUUUCCAGUCUAGCAGGGGAGAUGGAAAGGAAGAUAAAAGAGAAGAUACAUUACAGUGGUGAAGAAUCAUGCCUGUUCUCAGCCCCAUCCUCACCCUGGGGUAGAGGCCAUCCAGGGGUGUUUUCCCUGGGCAGGAGGCAGACAGCUGCGGUCCACUUGGGAUUGCCAGGACUUUUGCAGAGCCAAGGAAGAAUGUGAGGGUAACCCCCAGCGUCGUGGAAUCACCACUGUACCGGCCCCGCUGCUGGCUCAUCUUGGAGUGGCCGUUGGCCGGACUCGGCUCUCGGCUCCAUCCGCGGCCCGUCGACUAACAUUCAGGUUCAUCGUUUUGGACAGAAUGGCCGUUUGACCUUUAUAUCGAACUCUGCCGUGCUCUCCCAAGCACGGAGGACAGUACUCUGCACACAGUGCUCUGCUCACAGUAAAUGCUCAGUGAUUGCCACUGGAGCAGUGGAGGACUCCGUGGACUUCGCUUUUUGGCCAUGUGACCGUGAUGGCUAAAGGACCACCCACAAAGGAGUCAUGUGGAUUGGGUACCUGUCACCAAACAUCAAGCCCCUUCAUGCUGGCGAAGACUCCUGAGCCCAAAUGUCUAUGCUCAUACCCACCAUAAACGUGUGGCUUUUUUUUAAAAUUAAAAGAUAUUUUCUCUUGGUAAGUUC